UUCGGAUGCUGACGAGUGGCGAACGGGUGAGUAAUACAUCGGAACGUGCCCGAUCGUGGGGGAUAACGCAGCGAAAGCUGUGCUAAUACCGCAUACGAUCUACGGAUGAAAGCAGGGGAUCGCAAGACCUUGCGCGGACGGAGCGGCCGAUGGCAGAUUAGGUAGUUGGUGGGGUAAAGGCUCACCAAGCCGACGAUCUGUAGCUGGUCUGAGAGGACGACCAGCCACACUGGGACUGAGACACGGCCCAGACUCCUACGGGAGGCAGCAGUGGGGAAUUUUGGACAAUGGGCGCAAGCCUGAUCCAGCCAUGCCGCGUGCAGGAUGAAGGCCUUCGGGUUGUAAACUGCUUUUGUACGGAACGAAAAGGUCUUCUCUAAUAAAGAGGGCUCAUGACGGUACCGUAAGAAUAAGCACCGGCUAACUACGUGCCAGCAGCCGCGGUAAUACGUAGGGUGCAAGCGUUAAUCGGAAUUACUGGGCGUAAAGCGUGCGCAGGCGGUUGUGUAAGUCUGAUGUGAAAGCCCCGGGCUUAACCUGGGAACUGCAUUGGAGACUGCACGGCUAGAGUGCGUCAGAGGGGGGUAGAAUUCCGCGUGUAGCAGUGAAAUGCGUAGAGAUGCGGAGGAAUACCGAUGGCGAAGGCAGCCCCCUGGGAUGACACUGACGCUCAUGCACGAAAGCGUGGGGAGCAAACAGGAUUAGAUACCCUGGUAGUCCACGCCCUAAACGAUGUCAACUAGCUGUUGGGGGUUUGAAUCCUUGGUAGCGUAGCUAACGCGAGAAGU
rnacentral:rRNA from 1 species